AUUGAACGCUGGCGGCAGGCCUAACACAUGCAAGUCGAACGGUAGCACAGAGGAGCUUGCUCCUUGGGUGACGAGUGGCGGACGGGUGAGUAAUGUCUGGGAAACUGCCCGAUGGAGGGGGAUAACUACUGGAAACGGUAGCUAAUACCGCAUAACGUGGCAAGACCAAAGAGGGGGACCUUCGGGCCUCUUGCCAUCGGAUGUGCCCAGAUGGGAUUAGCUAGUAGGUGGGGUAACGGCUCACCUAGGCGACGAUCCCUAGCUGGUCUGAGAGGAUGAACAGCCACAAUGGAACUGACGAACGGGCCAGACUCGUACGGGAGGCAGCAGUGGGGAAGAUUGUACAACGGGAGCAAGGCUGAUGCAGCCAUGCCGCGGGUAUGAAGAAGGCCGUCGGGUUGUAAAGUACUUUCAGCGAGGAGGAAGGCGUUGUGGUUAAUAACCGCAGCGAUUGACGUUACUCGCAGAAGAAGCACCGGCUAACUCCGUGCCAGCCGCCGCCGUAA
rnacentral:rRNA from 1 species